rnacentral:sRNA from 1 species
UAUGAAAUGUGUAACAGGCCAGGGCCAC